rnacentral:rRNA from 1 species
ACGCUCGACACCUACAGGAGGCAGCAGUGGGGAAUAUUGCACAAUGGGGGAAACCCUGAUGCAGCGACGCCGCGUGAAGGAUGAAGUAUUUCGGUAUGUAAACUUCUAUCAGCAGGGAAGAAAGUGACGGUACCUGACUAAGAAGCCCCGGCUAACUACGUGCCAGCACGCCGAACGGUUAAUCGUGGAGGCCGGGCGUGGACGAAGGC